rnacentral:lncRNA from 1 species
GGAAAUAUUGUUGAGAGAUACCUGUCCUAACAUUGCAUUUUCUAAUUGUCGAUAAAGGAUAAUACCUCAGAGAUAUUGCAGCUUUGGUUCCAGACCACUGCAAUAAAGCAAAUAAUCUCAAUAAAUUUUCACCAGGAGUAGACUCCAUCUCAAGAAACCAAUUUCUUUGCUCAUCCCUAAGAAGCAGCUUGUCAUCCGUUCAAGUUUCAUCAUGAGAUUACAACAACUCGCUCACGUCUUCAGGCUCCACUUCUACUUCUAGUUGUCUUGCUGUUUCCACCACAUCUGCAGAUACUCCCUCCACUGAAGUCUUGAACCCCUCAAAGCACCCAGGAGGGCUGGAAUCAACUUCUUCUGAACUCCUGUUAAUGUUGAUAUUUUGACCUCUUCCCAGGAAUCAUGAAUGUUCUUACUGGCAUCUAGAAUGGUGAAUCCUUUCCAGGCAGUUUUCAGCUUACUUUGCCCAAAUCCAUCAGAGGAAUCACUAUCCAUGGCAGCCACAGCUUUACAAAAUGUAUUUCUUAAAUAUGUAAUAAGACUUGAAAGUCAAAAUCACUCCUUGGGCUGCAGAAUGGAUGCUGUGUCAGCAAGCACAAAAACAACCUUAAUCUGAUUGUGCACCUCCAUCAGAGAUCUUGGGUGACCAGGCGCAUUGUCAAUGAGCAGUAGCAUUUUGAAAGAAAUCUUUUUUUCUGAGGAGUAGGUCUCAACAGUGUGCUUAAAAUAUUCAGUAAGUCAUGUUGUAAACAGAUGUGCUGUCAUCCAGGUUUUGUUGUUGCAUUCGUGGAGCACAGGCAGAACAGAUUUAGCCUAAUUCUUCAGGGCCCCAGGAUUUUCAGAAUGGUAAAUGAGCAUUGGCUUCAACUUAAAGUCACCAGCUGCAUUAGCCCCUAACAAGAGAGUCGGGGGCCAGCCCUGUGGCCAAGUGGUUAAGUUUGUGCACACUGCUUCGCCAGCUGAGGCUUCGCCAGUUUGGAUUCUGGGUGCGGAUCUAUGCACUGCUCAUCAGGCCAUGCCGUGGCGGCAUCCCACAUAGAAGAAUUAGAAAGACCUGCAACUAGGAUAUAUAACUGUAUUGGGGCUUUGGGGAGGAAGAAAAAAAAAAGAGGAGG